CCUACGGGAGGCUGCAGUGAGGAAUAUUGGUCAAUGGACGAGAGCCUGAACCAGCCAAGUAGCGUGAAGGAUGACUGCCCUAUGGGUUGUAAACUUCUUUUAUAUGGGAAUAAAAUGUUCCACGUGUGGGAUUUUGUAUGUACCAUAUGAAUAAGGAUCGGCUAACUCCGUGCCAGCAGCCGCGGUAAUACGGAGGAUCCGAGCGUUAUCCGGAUUUAUUGGGUUUAAAGGGAGCGUAGGUGGAUUGUUAAGUCAGUUGUGAAAGUUUGCGGCUCAACCGUAAAAUUGCAGUUGAAACUGGCAGUCUUGAGUACAGUAGAGGUGGGCGGAAUUCGUGGUGUAGCGGUGAAAUGCUUAGAUAUCACGAAGAACUCCGAUUGCGAAGGUAGCUCACUGGACUGCAACUGACACUGAGGCUCGAAAGUGUGGGUAUCAAACAGGAUUAGAUACCCCAGUAGUC
rnacentral:rRNA from 1 species